GAGGGUAUAGCUCAGUGAUAGAGUACAUGCUUAGCAUGCACGAGGUCCUGGGUUCAAUCCCCAGCACAUCCA
rnacentral:tRNA from 1 species